rnacentral:rRNA from 1 species
CCCUUAGAUGUCCUGGGCCGCACGCGUGCUACACUGACACUUGCAACGAGUACUUUGCUUUACCGAAAGGUAAUGCUAAUCAUCAAUAAGUGUCGUGAUGGGGAUAGAUCUUUGGAAUUAUGGAUCUUGAACGAGGAAUGCCUAGUAAGCGUAGGUCAUUAGCCUACGCUGAUUAAGUCCCUGCCCUUUGUACACACCGCCCGUCGCUCCUACCGAUUUCGAGUGGUCCGGUGAAACUUUUGGACCGUGCGACUUUAUUGUUGUCACGGAAAGUCAGUUAAACCAUACUACUUAGAGGAAGGAGAANUCGUAACA